UUUCUCUAAGUUGUGAAGCCCUGUUUAGAGUAAUAUGCUAAAUCUGGUUUCCAAAUAAUCUGCCAUGUUUUGCUAUUGUUUUGAAAAUUUCGCAACCGUGACACUACUGAGAGAAAUGUGUUAAAAAGUUGGAACAUCUGUUUGUCAUGCUGUCUGCUGGUGAAGUUGUUCUGGCCAUGUAAAACAGGUAACAACUUUGGGGUACUGCUUCACUUGUGGAUUGCCUUCACUCUUACAAAUUGUUUCAACACUGAAGACCUCUUUGAAAUUUAAAGGCUGAAGAACUGGAAAUUUCAGUGGAAAAGGGUAUCUGAUGGAAGUGAGACUCAGCACAGAAUCCUAAUUGUCAUGAAAACAUCUUUUGAGUAAUAGUAACUCAUGCACAAAGAUAACGAUGCUCAAACUUCACAUAAAUAGCUGGCAUACUGUGGAGGGCCUGAUAAGCGGAUUUCUUCAUCCAUGCUAAGUCUCCAUUAUAUCAUGUAGCCGUCCCAUUAUCUUGUGUGAAAUGCUUAUUGCAGUUUCUUCCAUUGGGUCUCCUAUAUGUAUUAUCUAUAAUGCAUAAUGGAGUGUGUGUAUGAAUGAAGGACAAUAUCCCACAAAGCAUGAAAAUUACUUGGUCUGUCUUUAUUCACUGUUAGGCAAGCUCUGAAUAUCUGGUCUUUGUUUAAUUUUAAAUAUCCAUGGAAUAGUCCUUCCAAGAAGAUAUUUUCCAUAAUUGAUAUCCUUCAAGUUGUGCCAGUAUCUCUUUUGGGAAUGGGGUGACUGGAAGCAGAUGAAAGACUCCAGACAGAGUCAAACACAGGCUCAAGUGGACUGUGUUGCCACUGUCUUUGUGGG